rnacentral:rRNA from 1 species
ACUGGCGCACGGGUGCGGAACACGUAGGAAAACGGCCCAGAAAGGGAGAACAACCAGUCGAAAGAUUGGCUAAAUCUCCGUAAAAUCAUAGAGUGGCAUCACUUAUUGAUCAAGUUUUUUUCUGGAUGAGCCUGCGUCUGAUUAGCUAGUUGGCGGGGUAACGGCCCACCAAGGCUACGAUCAGUAGCUGGUCUGAGAGGAUGAUCAGCCACAUUGGGACUGAGAUACGGCCCAAACUCCUACGGGAGGCAGCAGCGAGGAAUAUUGCUCAAUGGGGGAAACCCUGAAGCAGCAACGCCGCGUAAAGGAUGAAGGCGCUUUGCGUUGUAAACUUUUGUAGUCGGGGACAAAUUGGGAGUUACUACUCCCUUGAUGGUACCCGAAAAGUAAGGAUCGGCUAACUACGUGCCAGCAGCCGCGGUAAUACGUAGGAUCCGAGCGUUGUCCAAAUUUACUGGGUGUAAAGGGUGCGCAGGCGGACUGAUAAGUCAGUGGUGAAAUCUCGUCGCUUAACGACAAAACUGCCUUUGA